CACCUAACCUCGUCUAUUUUAUUGAUGGCUAUGUCAGCUGUUCUGCAAUUUGAUUGUUCUGUAGACAAUGAAAUCGCGCGAAAUGCUACGAAAAGUUUUGCAGGAAUGCUUGAAAAAGCAUUCGAGCAAUAUAAAAAAUUAUGGAAUGAAUAUUUAAAACUGAGAAAGUAUUGUGAAGAUUCUAAUUUAAAGAUUCCAUUUCAGUUAGAUGAUUAUAAUAAUAAAGAUGUCAAUACAUUAUCAGAGGAAUGUGGAUGUUCCAUAGAAUCACCUGAUGUAAGUCAGAUAUUGCCUGAAAGUAUAAAAAUACCCAUAUCAGUAUGCCCAAGUGUUCCUAUUACAUGUAGCUCUGGUAUUGUUUCUGACUUGGAUGACAAUUCUGUAAGCAGGCAAACAAACCAAGACAAGUUACAGAGCAGUCCAAUACUUAUAAAAAAACGUUGUAAAUCUAAAAACAAUAAUAAUAUAUUCAGUCAUUCUUCUUCAAAUGAGUCCAACGAAAAUCUAGCACAACAAUGUGUUCCAAUAAAAGAAGAUCUUUCUGAUUUAGCAAAUAGUUCUCAACAGGAUGAACUAUUUGUGGAACCAAAACAAGAUGAAUGUUCAUUAUUUUCACCUACUGAAAUACAAUGUACACCUGUGGCUAAAGUGUCACGAAAAUUAGGAGUUAGUAAACAAUAUAAUGUUGAUACUACAUUAUUGAAAAGUGGGAAAAAAGUUAAACAGUCAAAACUUGUAUUCCUUCCAUGCGAACAAUCAGAAGACAACAGAUCAACAUACACAUUGUUGACACCAGAAAAAAGUAAAAAGAACGAAUCAAAAAAUCGAAAUAAAUCAGUAGAUGAAGAAAUAAUACAAGUUAGCCCUAAUAAACAUACUGAAUCAAAUCUGAGAAUAAAAAAUUUGAAAAUCAAGAGAAAAACUCCUAUUAAAGUUAUUCAGAAAGGUGCAAAAGAUUCAAGUAUUCUUAGUAGAAACAAUCCUGACAAAAGUAAUGAUGUCAAAUCUCCUUUAAAAGAAAAAAAUCAAUUGAGUCUCACUCAGAAUUUUCUAUCAACGUGUUCAUUUAAACAAGAAAAUGAAUUACCUUCAGUUAAAAAAAUGAAAACGUUUAGUUUUCAAAAUGAUGAGAAAACUAAAAGUAAGUGUGAUAUAAGAUCUCCUUUAUCUGUGGUAGAUAAAUUAGAACAUAUGCAUUUUGUAAAUGAUGAAAAUUUAUCAACUACAAUAACAAACAGUGAAGAAUUGGAAAGUAUACAAAAUAUUAAUCAGAUAAAGAAAGAAUAUUUACAGCCAAUUGAUGAAAAAGUUCACAUUAAUUCUUCAACAUGUGAUGAUGAAACAUUUUGUAUGUUAGGGGAAAAAUUGAAAGAAGCACCUGCUGUUUGUAAUAUAGAUAAAUCACAGAUUACUAAAGAAAAUAUAUUUAAUAACAAAUCACAAACACCUUCACCUGUAAGAAGGAGUCUUCUGACUAGUUUUGAUACAAAUCGCAAGAGAAAGAAUGCAGAAGUCAAUCAACCUUCCAAGAAAAAAGCAGACAGAGCAAAGAUGUCUGGUGUUUCUUGUUGGGAAUGUCAAAGGUAUUAUGCUAACCUUGGACUUUCUGAAGAAGAAAUAAAACUAAGACAGAAUCAGUGUUCUCGACAUAGAACUAAUGAAAAGAAAAGAGAAGAUACACCAGAAGAUUCUUCCCUUUGCAUAAAAAUAUAGAAUCUGUUAUAUCAAUCUGUGCUAAAAAAGAAAUGAAACAUAUUAAUUGGUCAAGUAAACUUUCAUGGUACAUUAUACGUAUUCAACACAAAAUCGAAAUUAUUACAAUAAUACUUUUUCAAUUUCCGUAUACUUAGAUGCGCAAAGUAUCUGGUAUUCAGAAAUGCUCGUAAUAAGGAUCAAACUAUUUGCACUCAAUAAAUGUAUUACUCUAUCUUCAACUACAAUUUAAUAGGAAAGAAUAAUAAUACAGAAAUGUAAAUGUAAAGGAAAAAACAUUAAU